GUUAUAUAUAUAUAUAUGAUAUAAUUUUCCUUUGCAAUGAAUGUCAAGCUAUGGUGAGCUCACAAAUAGAAUCUCUAGAACUAGUUAGUUACUGUGUACACGAGCAAAUAAAGUCUUUCCUGCUUAAAUAAUUUUUAUACCAACUUCAAUCAUAUCAUGAUAUGCAAAAUCUUUUUUGCACUCAAGUUCAUAUGCAUUAGUUAUGUCAAGUACUUGAUUAAAUAUCUAUGGCUUCUGUUCUUGACAUCUUAAAUGAUUUUAAACUUGCAGUUUGGUUAUAUUGUGUUGACA
rnacentral:misc_RNA from 1 species